AUUGAACGCUGGCGGCAGGCCUAACACAUGCAAGUCGAGCGGAUGAAGGGAGCUUGCUCCUGGAUUCAGCGGCGGACGGGUGAGUAAUACCUAGGAAUCUGCCUGGUAGUGGGGGAUAACGUCCGGAAACGGGCGCUAAUACCGCAUACGUCCUGAGGGAGAAAGUGGGGGAUCUUCGGACCUCACGCUCUCAGAUGAGCCUAGGUCGGAUUAGCUAGUUGGUGGGGUAAAGGCCUACCAAGGCGACGAUCCGUAACUGGUCUGAGAGGAUGAUCAGUCACACUGGAACUGAGACACGGUCCAGACUCCUACGGGAGGCAGCAGUGGGGAAUAUUGGACAAUGGGCGAAAGCCUGAUGCAGCCAUGCCGCGUGUGUGAAGAAGGUCUUCGGAUUGUAAAGCACUUUAAGUUGGGAGGAAGGGCAGUAAGUUAAUACCUUGCUGUUUUGACGUUACCAACAGAAUAAGCACCGGCUAACUUCGUG
rnacentral:rRNA from 1 species